rnacentral:misc_RNA from 1 species
GGCUGAAGUCAAUUCUACUGCAGUGGGAGCAGAUCCAGCUUUCCCCUCCAAGUUUUGAACUCUAAACCAGUUCUCAAACUCAACUUGUGUGCUGCUUAGAUCGCCACUAGGAUUCAACAAGUAGAAUGCAUCUAAGGGAUCUAUAUGAGGGAAGGCAGAAACUAUGCUCCCAACUUGCUCUUGACAGUUGCAGCUUCUAUCAAGUGUCAGACAGAUGCUGCCAACAGAAGGCAUUCGAUAGACCUCUUGGCUUCUGAGAACAGGUAAAUUCUCCCAUGGAAGCA